rnacentral:rRNA from 1 species
AACGCUAGCUACAGGCUUAACACAUGCAAGUCGAGGGGCAGCAUGAACAUAGCUUGCUAUGUUUGAUGGCGACCGGCGCACGGGUGCGUAACACGUAUCCAAUCUGCCCGUUACUCGGGGAUAGCCUUCUGAAAGGAAGAUUAAUACCCGAUGGCAUGUAUUUCCGGCAUCGGAGAUACAUUAAAGAUUAAUCGUGUAACGGAUGAGGAUGCGUACGAUUAGCUUGUUGGCGGGGUAACGGCCCACCAAGGCUACGAUCGUUAGGGGUUCUGAGAGGAAGGUCCCCCACACUGGAACUGAGACACGGUCCAGACUCCUACGGGAGGCAGCAGUGAGGAAUAUUGGUCAAUGGUCGGAAGACUGAACCAGCCAAGUAGCGUGAAGGAUGACUGCCCUACGGGUUGUAAACUUCUUUUGUUUGGGAAUAAAAGACGCUACGUGUAGCGUUCUGCAUGUACCUUACGAAUAAGCAUCGGCUAAUUCCGUGCCAGCAGCCGCGGUAAUACGGAAGAUGCGAGCGUUAUCCGGAUUUAUUGGGUUUAAAGGGAGCGUAGGCGGGCUGUUAAGUCAGCGGUAAAAUGUCAAGGCCCAACNUUGUCCUGCCGUUGAAACUGGCGGUCUUGAAUGCACACAAGGGAGAUGGAAUUCGUCGUGUAGCGGUGAAAUGCUUAGAUAUCACGAAGAACUCCGAUUG